rnacentral:rRNA from 1 species
UACGUAGGGGGCAAGCGUUGUCCGGAAUUAUUGGGCGUAAAGAGCGCGUAGGCGGUCCGAUAAGUCGGCUGUGAAAGUCCAGGGCUCAACCCUGGAAAGCCGGCCGAUACUGUCGGACUAGAGUCCGGAAGAGGCAAGUGGAAUUCCCGGUGUAGCGGUGAAAUGCGCAGAUAUCAGGAGGAACACCAAUGGCGAAGGCAGCUUGCUGGGACGGUACUGACGCUGAGGAGCGAAAGCGUGGGGAGCAAACAGG